AAUUAAUUUUUAAUACCUUCUAACUAAUACAUUUAAAAAAGUGUUUUUUUCAUAGCAGUUUUAAGAGCAAUAACAAAUAGACCCUAAGAGGUAUUAAUGUUCAUAACAAAGGGGCAUAUAUAAAAUUUUUAUCCUUUUGAACUUCUCCCAAUUAGUGCUUUAAUCUGUAGUUAAAAUCUAAAUUCACAACCACCCAUCAUAUAGCCCAACAGCUCUUACUAGACAACAUUGAAUCUUGGAAUUACAAAGACUGUCCCACGACAAGAUAUGAUGAACUCUAUUCCAGUAUCAAGUAAAAAGCAUAGACAUGUUUCUCAUGAAAUAUGUCAUGAUAUAACACCCCAACCUGUCAUAGUUUAGGCUACAAGGCCACAAAGUACUUAUUAUGACUUGAUUAAAAAAGUUUACCAGUUACACACAGGAAUUUACAUAAUUUAACCGGCAUACUUACAAUUAUGCACAUA
rnacentral:misc_RNA from 1 species